rnacentral:misc_RNA from 1 species
GAUGAAGAACGCAGCAAAAUGCGAUAAGUAAUGUGAAUUGCAGAAUUCAGUGAAUCAUCGAAUCUUUGAACGCACAUUGCGCCCGCUGGUAUUCCGGCGGGCAUGCCUGUUCGAGCGUCAUUUCAACCCUCAAGCCCCCGGGUUUGGUGUUGGGGAUCGGCUCUGCCCUUCUGGGCGGUGCCGCCCCCGAAAUACAUUGGCGGUCUCGCUGCAGCCUCCAUUGCGUAGUAGCUAACACCUCGCAACUGGAACGCGGCGCGGCCAUGCCGUAAAACCCCAACUUCUGAAUGUUGACCUCGGAUCAGGUAGGAAUAUCCGCUGAACUUAAGCAUAUCAAUAAGCGGAGGA